rnacentral:rRNA from 1 species
GAUGAACGCUAGCGGCAGGCUUAACACAUGCAAGUCGAGGGGUAUAGCUCUUCGGAACUAGAGACCGGCGCACGGGUGCGUAACGCGUAUGCAAUCUACCUUUUACAGGGGGAUAGCCCAGAGAAAUUUGGAUUAAUACCCCAUAGUAUGUUAGAGUGGCAUCAUUUUAACAUUAAAGUUCCAACGGUAAAAGAUGAGCAUGCGUCCCAUUAGGUAGAUGGUAAGGUAACGGCUUACCAUGGGGACGAUGGGUAGGGGUCCUGAGAGGGAAACCCCCCACACUGGUACGGAGACACUCACCAGACUCCUACGGGAGGCAGCAGUGAGGAAUAUUGGAAAAUGGGCGCAAGCCUUAUCCAGCCAUGCCGCGUGCAGGAAGACGGUCCUAUGGAUUGUAAACUGCUUUUGUACAGGAAAAAACACUCCCUCGUGAGGGAGCUUGACGGUACUGUAAGAAUAAGGAUCGGCUAACUCCGUGCCAGCCGCCGCAGUAACAC